CUGCAGCAAACUAAAUCUUCCAGAUCCCUUUCCUCACAGGGCCUGAUAUGCAAUGGCUAGGAACAGUGGCCUCAGUGGUAGCGAAUGUAGCCUGUUGCUACAUGGACUUCUCUAAGACAUCUUGGAUACAGUU
rnacentral:snoRNA from 1 species